UACGUAGGAUGCGAGCGUUGUCCGGAAUUAUUGGGCGUAAAGAGAACGUAGGCGGUUAGUUAAGUUUGGGCUUAAAGACUGGGGCUCAACCCCAGGAGUGGCUUGAAUACUGGCUGACUCGAGGAUGGCAGAGGAUGGUGGAAUUCCCGGUGUAGCGGUGAAAUGCGUAGAGAUCGGGAGGAACAUCAGUGGCGAAGGCGGCCAUCUGGGACAACACUGACGCUGAAGCACGAAAGCGUGGGGAGCAAACAGG
rnacentral:rRNA from 1 species